AAAAAACCCAAACAAAACAAAAAAAAACUUACAGGAGGCUCGUGAGGACGGGGUUACUGGCCAUGGAUUUAAAAUAAUCCACAGAUGGGGCAGCUUGGCUCAAGAGGUCUCCUCGAACAAGAAGCCCUCUCAGGGUCUCGUGAUCCCGUCCCAGCAGAUACAGUUGAGGGCUUUGGCACGGCAGCAGGCCAGCACAAAGGAACAGUGCCGGCGUUCUACUGACCUGCUCCGGACACGAUGAAGAGGUGUAGGAGCAGCAGAGCCCUGACCCUGCGCCGUCCACACGAGUCCAGGACAGCGUCCAUGCCGGGACGUCCAGUCCGAAUGAUCCGG